GUCCCAUUAUAUUGUGAUGUUGUCAUAGGAGGAAAGGAAAUGAAAUGCCUUUCGGCUGUAUGGCUAGUGUGUGUGUGUGUGUGUGUGUGUGUGUGUGUGUGCAUGUUGUGGGGGAGUCAGAGGUGUAAAAGUGAGCCAGUGUGUUUGUGAUUCAAAAUUAGUUUGAACGUCUCAGAGUCGUAUUGGGGAAACUUUGCUUUUUAUUGAAUUUUUUGUUGUUAUCUCCGUCUGAUCAUUGCACCUAUUGGCCAAAAAUAAUGUCUGGUGUUCAACAUUGACAGAAAUUAUCAAAUUUUACAUAAGAUAUCACAAACAAUGACUGUGCGUUGACCUCUAUGCAUGAGGCCAACAUUAAAUUAGCAUGCAGCCCAACAAUUUGUUAGUGGGUGUAUAUGGAUUACUCAGCAUGUCCUAAUCCCUAACGACAGAAGGGUUUGAAGAUUUCUGAAAUGAGACUCAAAAAAUUUACUUUCUCAUGAAGUGGACCUUUAACGAGGAGUUACGUACAUCUCCGUACUCAUAAGUUGAGUACAUUAUCAAAGUUGAGUACAUUAUCAAAGUAGCUCAAUAUUGAAAAGAACAAAACAAAAACAGAGCAGAAUUCAUCUCUGCAUUGCUUUUUAGAUUAUUUUAUCAAGACAUUUCUUAUGGUACACACUGCGCACACACAAUGUUUUUCUGGGUGGGUGUUUUUUUACACAAAUGUGGAUAAGACCAGUUUUUCUUUAUUCCGACUUCAGAGAGCAUUCAUGUGAAUUUUCACAAUUGGCACACGUUUCUUCACAUAAUUCUGACAGUCAGUCUCAACCCCUCGCAGUCUCGGACUUGAUAGCCUCUGGUCCUGGCCGCGACUUUCCCCAGAUAUCUAACUAAUAUAAGCCAACACCUGGUGUCACGAAUCUAGAGUCCGAUUUAUUUCCUGCUUAGUAACGCCACUGCUGUUUUCCUGCUUCACUUUGUGUCUCUGCAUCCCGUAGCCGCAAAAAAACACCGACAUGCAGACUGAGAUAAAGAGCCAUUGGUAGCUAUUAGCUACCUUGACUCUUAAAAGCCUUCUAGUUCUGCCAAUAAUCACUGUGCUACUUGAGCACUUUGAAAGUAGCCCAGUUUUGCAUUUUGAUACAUUUUUAUGCAAAUGCAAUGCCUGAUGGUAUAUGAGCCGCUUGAAAGCUUGUUUCCCUACAUGGCAGCAAUAUGAGCAGAUAUCCCUGUGAAACGCAGCACCUUUAUCUCAUCUGUGUCUGAGUAACUGAUGGCUCAUAAGACCUGCUGCGGUGGCUCUGGAGGUUAAUGAGUUCAACCACACAACAUUGCUGAAGUUCUGUUUAUUACUUGUGGCUGGUAUCUAUGGCAGCGUUGUUAUCAUGUGCACUCAUAGUGACAGAAUUCAAAACAUUUUACAGAUAGUCUUCCUUCAGUGAUUCAAAUAACGCAUACUGUAAGAUGUUUAUGAGUCGGCGCCGAGAUAAAAAGGAGAUGAAUGCAUACUGUUUCUAUACAGUUGGUUUUAUUAUUGCUUUCAUGGGUUUCCUUUAUGUAAAGGGGAUUUUUUGCUCAAACCACCAGGCGUGACAAAAUUUUUUAGGGGAAACACGGCACGCAUUCAAAUCAGCGAGCAACACUCUAAGUCUGCCUUCCACCUAUGCACUUUUCUGGAGAUGGCUGAAUCCUUUGCCGUGAAACAAUACCACACCGCACCACCGUUCUCCGACAUGUUGACUUGCUGUCAUAAUCCCAGCAAGUAAUUAUAUAACUGUGUCCUGUAAACACAGCCACUGUUUUACACGUGUCGAUAGCCACAUCUAGAUACCAAGAAAAGGAAACGCUUCUCGGUGCUUGACAAUGGCAAAAUUGUGGACAAUGAGCGAUGAAAGAAGCUGCUGUUUUUUUGCAGCAAGUCACCGUGUCAGUUGAGAAUUUCCUUUGUGUGCGUCGGUGUGUUCGGGGGAUGUUGCAUGAAUGGGCAGUCAGCAUUUAGGGUUCAAAAGAAAACAGCAGCCUGAGCUCCUGUCUGUGUGAAAACCAAGGCUACGGUGCUCUGUAUCAAGUGCCAUUGUUUUGGUAAUAGUAAACCUGGGGCACUUGCCAGGAGGCAUUAGUCAUUCAUCUAACAAGUUCCACAAAACAAACCACAAAGUGCUCCACUGUCGACUUCCUCUUAUUGAAUUCUGAGCACAUAAGCACAUUUCCAAGUGUCGCACAUGUAACACAGCAAUGUAUAGACUUUCUGAUGACUCGCUACCUGAAGUAUGUCUGCCAUGUUUGUUUAUUUGUGCGUUUUCCUGACAGGAAGCCGUCCCGUUUGGUAGCGCGCGGGGGAGAAUGAGGAGAGAGAAGUAGGGAGGUGGCGGGUGAAAGGCGGAUAGGAGGGGAUUAGGGCGGAGUGCAAUUUUUCAGCAGGCCAGGCAUACGACAUGAUCUCUAAUUACCCACAAAGCACUGUGUAACCCGAGCCACAGAUUAGGCUGCAUUAUCAGGCUUAAUAAAACAUGACCAUCUCUCAGUUUCACUCCCUUUCCCUGCCCUGCUGCCACAAACAUUUGUUCCUGGUUAUGACAUUCACAGUCCUUUUGCUGAGCAAGUACGCCGACUUAAACUGCUACUGGCGCUAACUUUUGACCGCAGAAGCUCAAACUAUGAAGCGACUGAGACGAAAAAUUAGAGGACAAAAAGUUCGAAUACACCAAUUUGAAUUCAUAUUUUAGACUUCUAUCUAACCCUUUGUUUGAAAUAUUUGAGAGUUUUUCAACUUUGACCUUCAAGCAAUCUUUGGUCAAACUCAUCUCAAGCUUCAAAACCACUGGUUGAUUAUAUCAAAGUGCUUUGAAUUUUAUAAACUUAGUAUAAAUAUAGUGGGGUAAAAAGUAAAAAGAGAAUAAAGUUGAGUUGAAGUAUAAAAGAGCCAUAAAAUGAAAAGUCUGAAUGAAAAAUUUGUACCUAAGUACAGCACUUGAAAAAUGUAAUUACUUAAAUUCAACCAAUGUACCUGAUGCUGCAGUUCAACAUGGACAUGGGUACCUAUACUCAAGAGCUGAAAGAAAUACAGAGACCUUGUACUUGUAAGAGUAUCAAUACCAAACUGCGGAAAAACUCUUGUUACAAGUAAAAGUUGCCCAUUUGAAUUUUUACUUCAAAAAUACCGAAGAACUAACAUAACCACACACUUUACGUAAUGAAAGUAAAAGUACUCGUUGUGUGAAAUGGCAGUUGGUUGUUUAACUACUUUAUAAGGUGUAUCUGAUGGGCAGCUUGUGAAUUUCCCUUCAGGGAUCAAUACAGUUUUAUCUCAGUCUACAUAAAAGGUCAUUAUUUUGUUUGACUAGUUUCUGUAUAAUCAAACUAAAUCAGCAGCAUGAUGGUAACUAAAAACGUAAAACAAAUGAUGUGGAGUGAAAAACUACAGCAUCUGCCUCUGAUUUAGAGCAAAGUUAAAGCGUAAAACAGCGUGAAAUUGGCAUAAAAAUGUACUUAUGUAGAGUACCUGAGUAAAUGCUAAAUACUUGGUUGCUUUCCAACACUUCUUGUACUUUGCACACUGCAUUUUGUUGUACUUUAUAAAUAAAAUGAUCAGACUUUGUCCUGUUAAAGUGUAUUUGGUUUAUAGCUUUGUUGUAUUGAAUUUCGUCUCUGAAACAACAUUGUGCCCCUUUAAGUAAAGGAUCUGAAUACGUCCUCCACCACUGCUAAUUUGCCUGCUACACACACAAAAGCAUGCACACACAUACUCUUUACUUGCCUGGUUCACGUGGGUUGUGCCAGUAAGUGCUGCUUUAGGCUAUGGUUUUUCACUACUGUCUACUGUGUUAUUAACAAUUCUAUAAAAAGAUCUGCUCAAGUUUCCCUUUCCUGUGUGUUAACAACCCUGCCGAGUUGCUGUGAGGUUGUCGGGGCCGAGUUAAGAGAAAGACGGAGUCCUCGACAGCAUAACACCACUGGCCGUAUAUCAUAAUUUCCAAAAUCCUACUUUUCUUUCCUCUGUUUGUUUUUUCUCUGCGACAUCAGUCAUCGGUGUGGCUCGUGGCCAGCCUGAGACUAAAUAGGACGGCAGCGCAAGGAGAGGGCCUCAUUCUCUCACUUUCCCUCCCUUCUCUCAACCCGCAAGCCUCCUCCAAACAUCUCUACCUCCGUUUUUUUUUUUUCUUUAACAACAUACUUCUCUUUUCUUUUCUCUAUCCAUAACUCUACAGCAACUUCUUCCUGUUUUAGGGCGAUUCCCAUGUCUUAAACCAAAGAUAAUAGCUGUGCAGGAACUAAAACCAUGGUAUUACCACUGCACUUUCUGUCACACUUCUCCCUCUGCCCAUUGUAAACGAUCAUGGAGCUCAUCAUUAGCUCUCAAAGAGGAAGAAUGAGCCACAGUUUGAUUACCUCGGUGGCUCUGCGGGCUCCCGCAGUCUCUGCUGACUGGAUUGGACGCAGACGAUUACAGCCUUGUGCUGGCAAUUAUAUCUGCCUGCUAAAUAUGUCACACAUAAUAAACACAUGCUCCUGACAGACAAGGGACAAGGCGAGACAGUCACAGCUGGGGAAAGAGGAGAAGAGAGCAAAUUCAGGAACAUAUGGAUUUAUCAGCCCUGUCGUCCUCGAGUGGCGAACCCUCGCGGUCCAGAUCAAUGCAUGUCAGUGAACUAAUGGCAGACACCAGCGCUCAGGUUAACAUUUAAAGAUCUGUUACUGAUUGGAUAUCUAGAAAAAAAUCAAGAAAUAAAAAAAAGCAUUCUAGCUCAUACCCCUAAAAGAAUAAAAACUCAAGUUAUUGUACUUUUUCUGAGCUCGGACCUGUAAUUCAACUUUCAUAUGGGUACUGUCCCUGCAGGCCGCAGCGCAAACAUGGCACUGACACCAGGCCGAUAAUAUUUGUAAAGGAUAUUCAGUGAAAACAAGGGAGGGAAAGAGCCUUGAAUCCCAGGCAAGGGGCUUAUACCAUGGCCCAUGAUGUUUGCACAGGACAUACCUCAGGAAGCUGAGACAACUGGGAAUGUUUGUCCAGCUUCCAGCCUCUUCCAUGCAUACAUACAUAUAUACAGUACAUACGGCGCAACCCAUUCAGCUCACUUCGCACACACGUACAUAUACACUGAUACGUAUACUGUAAACUGGACACACAUACUGCGUAUCACACAGGCCUGUCACCAGAAUUAACCACAUACCAUAUAUAUGUUUUAUCUCAUCUCAUGGCCGUGUGUGUACAAGACGGCAUUCGGUUUUUGCUGAUUUCAAAUGUCGCCAGUUGUUUUUAACAUUAAGCAACUUAUCCUCAAUUGUUGUACCCCCUUUCCUCCACACUGCGAGAGGGCGUCUUUUGUAAUUUUUGUUAACUUCUUAUGGAAUCACAGUUUCUGAGAACAACUGAACUUACAAAGAGCAGAAAUGGUGAUUGGAGCGGAGUGGCUAUGACAGAGACACCAUUCAGUCUAAAACAAGACACUGUAGCGUCAAAAAUGAUUGUGAAACUGAUAUUUUUAGGUUUAAAAGUUACACACUGUUGCUUUAAAUAAAGGCAUGAUUGGAUUAAAUAGGACUGUUGGGCCUUGGCAGAGGUAUGCGCUCUACUGAGCCUUCUGCUUGAUUUCUAAUUCCAGUGUCUGAUUAUUAAGAAGUUUGUUGGUCUUUGAAAUAGUGUACUUGCAUUAUUAUGCUACUGUUUUGUCACAUCAGGGGCAUAAAAUGGUGUUAAAUUGACAAUAAUACAUUGAGCACAAUUAUUUCUGGGUCAAUAUACAAAGCAGCAGCAGUACAUAAGCAUUGUACUGUACAUAUAUUUACAAGGGCUGUAACUGAUGAUUAUUUUAAUCACUGAUUCAUCUGUUAACUCUUUCAUCAGUGAGUAACGUUCCGGAACCCGAGGAGGCGACAUCAAAACCCUGCUCAGAUCCAAACUCAGAAGAUUUUUCAUUUAAAAGUGACGUAUAUCAGAAAAACAUUUCCUGUCAACAGGCUAAUCUAACUGACUGAUCAGAUCAGCACAUACAGUGUAUACAGUUCAUACAUGCACGGUCUGUAUAAAGAAGCUCUCUUGGCACUCUUACGCUCCUUCCUGUUUGUCUACGUUUGUUUGCCUUUAGCACAGAAACACUGGCUGGCUUCUGUAGGAGCUCACAUGUACAAUGUCUGUGUUGUGUUGUAUAUUGUAGCUUUCAAAAUGCAUAUGGCGAGACCAAAUACCACUGCAGUGAACUCAUGUUGAAAUCUCAAAAUACUGUAGCAUGGUUCAAAAGUAGAAAAACAAUCAUAUUAGACAGAUAGACAGAUAGACAGAUAGAUAGAUAGAUAGAUAGAUAGAUAGAUAGAUAGAUAGAUAGAUAGAUGCCAUGCAGCCAUUAACAAACAUAAUCAACAUUUAACUAAACACCCCUGGGCCUACUCUGCAGCAGGUGCUGCUUCUGUUUCUUUUCCUUUUCUUCUUCUGCAGUAAGAAUGAGAAUGCCAUCGCACUGCCCCAUGGGAAGGCCCGGGCUGACUAAUGUAAGCACACUACAGCGGGGCGGCUGGUCUUAAUUACGGUAACAGACGCUGAGGGGGACGCGCUGCUACCCACCGACGAGCAAGUAGCUCAGCAGUGCCAGGGCCAAUAAUUAGCACAUGGCUCUACAGCGCCGAAGUUCUCAGAGAAUACAGUCGUGGCCAGCAGCACGGCGAUUCAUGUCAUUCAGCGCCAGUCAACGACAGACGUUUUGGUUCAUAUCUCCCCCUCCUCGCAAGACUUUUUUUUUAUGUUGAUCGUGGACGACGACGCCUCGGUAAAAGGGAAGUGAUUCACACAGCGACUGGUGAUCACAGCAAUUAUCAGCACAUUGAAGAAGGUGAAAAAAAAGGAGGAAUGUAACCAGAAGCUCCAAAUGAGCAGUGUGACAAAGGCUGAAAGCAUGAAAAGCGGCACACAUGUUCCCUGGAAGUCACAUAAACUCGCUAAUUACUCAAACUAGGCUCGCGUCCGCGGCACAGCACCCAGAGUGAGCCGGCAGCGCUCAAAACAGUUACAGAGAUUUUCCAUGUGCCCACACAGCCUUCAUCUGCAGCAGCAGCAGCAGCAGCAGCAGGUCAACAGCGAGAUGCCUGUUGAGCUGUAACGUUCCCACCACGAUUCCUGUUGGGAUAGAUGUAGCGAUCCUAUAAUGUCCUCAACGCAGCUCUGCAGACAAGGAGGUCAUGACCUAGUUUCCCCAGGGGUCAGCUCCCAUACUCUGUUGCAGGACGCUAAGCCCCUGACAUGUGAACCACUAAAAGAUUAUG